rnacentral:rRNA from 1 species
UACGGGAGGCAGCAGUAGGGAAUAUUGGGCAAUGGAGGCAACCCUGACGCAGCAACGCCGCGUGAAGGACGAAGGUCUUCGGAUUGUAAACUUCUUUUGUCAGGGACGAAAUUUGACGGUACCUGACGAAUAAGCUCCGGCUAACUACGUGCCAGCAGCCGCGGUAAU